rnacentral:rRNA from 1 species
AGAGUUUGAUCCUGGCUCAGAAUCAACGCUGGCGGCGCGCCUAACACAUGCAAGUCGAACGAGAAAGGGGAGCAAUCCCUGAGUAGAGUGGCGUACGGGUGAGUAACACGUGGGUAAUCUGCCCUUUGGUGGGGAAUAACCCUGGGAAACCGGGGCUAAUACCGCAUAAGUCCGAGAGGAGAAAGCAGCAAUGCGCCGAAGGAGGAGCCCGCGGCCGAUUAGCUAGUUGGUAGGGUAAAAGCCUACCAAGGCAAAGAUCGGUAGCCGGCCUGAGAGGGCACACGGCCACACUGGCACUGAAACACGGGCCAGACUCCUACGGGAGGCAGCAGUGGGGAAUCUUGCACAAUGGGGGAAACCCUGAUGCAGCGACGCCGCGUGAGCGAUGAAGCCCUUCGGGGUGUAAAGCUCUUUCGGCAGGGAAGAUGAUGACGGUACCUGCAGAAGCAGCUGCGGCUAACUACGUGCCAGCAGCCGCGGUAAUACGUAGGCAGCAAGCGUUGUUCGGAGUUACUGGGCGUAAAGGGUGUGUAGGCGGUUUGGUAAGUCUGGUGUGAAAUCUCCCGGCUCAACUGGGAGGGUGCGCCGGAAACUGCCGGACUCGAGUGCGGGAGAGGAGAGUGGAAUUCCUGGUGUAGCGGUGAAAUGCGUAGAUAUCAGGAGGAACACCGGUGGUGUAGACGGCUCUCUGGACCGUAACUGACGCUGAAACACGAAAGCGUGGGUAGCAAACAGGAUUAGAUACCCUGGUAGUCCACGCCCUAAACGAUGCAUAUUUGGUGUGGGUCAUCCAGUUGAUCCGUGCCGGAGCUAACGCGUUAAAUAUGCCGCCUGGGGAGUACAGUCGCAGGCUGAAACUCAAAGGAAUUGACGGGGCCCGCACAAGCGGUGGAGCAUGUGGUUCAAUUCGACGCAACGCGAAGAACCUU